rnacentral:rRNA from 1 species
GACGAACCACACAAACGUUAUUCGGAAUUACUGGGCUUAAAGGGUGCGUAGGCGGCGCAGAAAGUAGGGUGUGAAAUCCCUCGGCUCAACCGAGGAACUGCGCCCUAAACUACUGUGCUCGAGGGAGGUAGAGGUGAGCGGAACUUAGGGUGGAGCGGUGAAAUGCGUUGAUAAUCCUAAGGAACACCGGUGGCGAAAGCGGCUCAGCUGGACCUCUUACUGGACGCUGAGGCACGAAAGCUAGGGUAGCGAACGGG